rnacentral:rRNA from 1 species
GAUGAACGCUAGCUACAGGCUUAACACAUGCAAGUCGCGGGGCAGCAUGAAUUUAGCUUGCUAAAUUUGAUGGCGACCGGCGCACGGGUGAGUAACGCGUAUCCAACCUUCCCCUGUCCACGGGAUAGCCCGUCGAAAGGCGGAUUAAUACCGUAUGAGGUCACAUGCGGGCAUCUAAUUGUGACGAAAGGUUUAGCGGACAUGGAUGGGGAUGCGUCCGAUUAGCUAGUUGGCGGGGUAACGGCCCACCAAGGCGACGAUCAGUAGGGGUUCUGAGAGGAAGGUCCCCCACAUUGGAACUGAGACACGGUCCAAACUCCUACGGGAGGCAGCAGUGAGGAAUAUUGGUCAAUGGACGUAAGUCUGAACCAGCCAAGUAGCGUGCAGGAUGACGGCCCUAUGGGUUGUAAACUGCUUUUAUGCGGGGAUAAAGUGUGGGACGUGUCCCAUAUUGUAGGUACCGCAUGAAUAAGGACCGGCUAAUUCCGUG